rnacentral:rRNA from 1 species
ACUACGGGAGGCAGCAGUGAGGAAUAUUGGUCAAUGGGCGGAAGCCUGAACCAGCCAAGUAGCGUGCAGGAUGACGGCCCUACGGGUUGUAAACUGCUUUUAUACGGGAAUAACGCGCCUUACGUGUAGGGCUUUGCAUGUACCGUAUGAAUAAGGACCGGCUAAUUCCGUGCCAGCAGCCGCGGUAAUACGGAGGGUCCGGGCGUUAUCCGGAUUUAUUGGGGUUAAAGGGAGCGUAGGCCGCAUGUCAAGCGUGCUGUGAAAUGUCCGGGCUCAACCCGGGCCUUGCAGCGCGAACUGGCGUGCUUGAGUCCGCGGAAGGCAGGCGGAAUUCGUGGUGUAGCGGUGAAAUGCUUAGAUAUGACGAAGAACCCCGAUUGCGAAGGCAGCUUGCUGCAGCGGAACUGACGCUGAUGCUCGAAAGCGCGGGUAUCGAACAGGAUUAGAUACCCUUGUAGUC